AGUAAAUUUGUGCAGGGAAACGGGUGUGUCCAAGCUGCAGCGGAGUAACAGCACGUAGUAUUUGCAAACGAACAGGAGAAAACGUCCAGAUCAAUUACAUGAAAUCGCAUUUGAUAUAUAAAACAAGCUUGUCACAGCUAAGAACUAGGAAAAUACGACAACGGAAAAUAGCAAGAAACCCACUGAGAAUGCUACAAAUGCUGUGACCCAUUUUUGGGUGAUACAGUAAAACACUAAUUUGUGUACUUACAAAAAGGUGGACUCAUCCUUAAUCCAUUAAUAUUUUUCUGCAACCACUGGAACUGAGCUCAAACUCAAAUAUGAUGUAAAUAGACCAUUGUAUUAUAGAAGAUGAGAAGCAAAAAUCUCAGGAAUACCUGUAUUGCUGCCUUUAAAGCAUGUAGUUCUCCAGUUGGACAACUCUGAAGUUGCUGGGCUUAAGACUGAUGAACUACAAGAGGAAAUUAUCAACAAAUGAAGCCUUCAAAGGAUGGUGUACAGGCAAGUGGAUCCUGAGUAUCCCCUGUGGCUUAGAAUCCACUAUUUUAUGUGUAUUAAUAAUCUAGUGUUACCUAUAUAUUUAUUGUAAAUAGUGACGAAAUAGUGGUAAGAACAUGUGUCGAAUAGCAAGUAUAGACUGUUGGGUCAGAAUUUGUAUGAGAAAUAAUGUUGUGAAUGACUGUGCUCCCAGCGCACUUGUGAGAAAUACCCCAGCUCACUGUGAGAUAUACCACAGUGCAGCAAACUAAUGUAGACUAUGGUGAGAGGUCAAUGAAGCUUUCCCCUACAGCCAGACAGAGACUGUGGAGGGCUACUAGUCCUCUACCAACGAGAACUAGGGACACUGAAUCCCAUUCUUCAAAAUCAGAUAUCCCACAAUUAUGCCCAAAGUGAUACAAUGUAGUGGUAAAAUAUUGACAUGUUUUGUGAAAAUAUGUAUAACUGUUGAAAAUAAAGAAUGAUAACACUCAUAA